AUGGACCCAGCGGCAGUAAAUCCGUCCGAGGAGCUCCAGGACGACAUCACAUACAAUGUGGAGAUCCUUCUCAGCCUAUGGCUGGAACAUCCCCCGGAAGAGCUUCGCCGCGCAGCAGAAGACCGGCUGCAACGGCUCUUUUCCGGCCUGCCAUGGCUAUUGGACUCGCUUCCUCCGACCAUGCAGGCUUUUCUCCGGCUCACACCGCACCUUCUCUCAGCCACUCCUGCCUCGCUGCCCGACUCGCCGGAUGUGAUCUUGCCCGGCCCGUCGGAGCCGUCUGCGGGGAGGAGACGCCAAUCGCGCCGCAAGCGCGCCACACCACAGCUGGACGUUCGGACUUCUAAUUCGCCGGCUGUGGUGAGUGAGGACUGUUUCCCAUUUGCGGACUCUCAUCUGACUGUGAGUCCCAACAGCUCUCAGAUCUUUGAAGGAGACUUUGUGUCUCUGAGCUGUGAGGAGGACGACAGCUCUGCUGGAUGGACUCUGAGGAGAAACACAAGAAAACCAAACACCACUCGGUGUGGAGAUGGGUGGGGGACAUCAGUUAACUCUUCAUGUGACAUCAGUUACAUUGUUGAACGAGACAGUGGAGUUUACUGGUGUGAGUCCAGAGAGGGUCCCAUCAGUAACAUGGUUAAGCUGACAGUCACUGGUGGAUCAGUGAUCCUGCAGAGUCCUGUCCUCCCUGUGAUGGAGGGAGAUGACGUCACUCUGCUCUGUAAAACAAAGACCACUCCCUCCAACCUCCCAGCUGCUUUCUAUAAAGAAGGCUCCCUCAUCAGGAAGCAGCCUACAGGUCACAUGACCAUCCAGCAUGUUUCCAGGUCUGAUGAAGGCCUCUACAAGUGUGACAUCAGCGGUCAUGGAGAGUCUCCAUCCAGCUGGAUCACUGUCACAGGGGAACAAACCACCACACCUCCACCUACAUCCACCUAUCCUCCUGGUUCCACCUCCAUCACUCUUCCUACAUCACUCUUUUAUCCUGUAAUUCCUGUGUUGUCAUCAGUUUGUGUUGUGGUUCUACUGGUGUUACUGGUUCUGCUGGUAAGACUAUGUCAUCACAGGAAACCUGAAGCAUAUCAAGAUAUGGCAGCAGAAGAUGGCAUUACAGAGAGUGAAAUCAAAAUAUCAAACAGUCAAGUUGAAGGAACACAAGAAAGCACAGAGGAUGAUUCAGCUUUAGUUUACUCAAUAGUGAGAAAAAAACCUGGCAGUUAUGGACAAACAACCAUCAGCCCAAAGACGACCGCAGAGUCAGACGUUAUCUACACUUCAGUGAAGUGAUGCGAAAUUGAAAACUACUUUGGAUGGACAUCAUCAACCACCAGUCCAACCACUGAUGCACACUGCUCGUCUCUAACUGCUCCCUGCAGCACCUCAGACCACAGUACCUCCGCUUUAUUUUCAUGUUUCCUGUGUUUUUGUCACUUAGAAAACCACAUCGUAUUUUCAAAAUUGUUUCUUCCUCCAUAAUCUUCAGGAACAAUAUAAAUAUUUAGAUAUGUAUUUAUGUCCUCAAUAAGUUUAGUGAUAUUUAUAUUUA